rnacentral:ncRNA from 2 species
AUGGGAUGAACCAUACGUCUGAUAAGGUGCCGAAAUGUACUAUCACUGAUACCAUAAAGGGAGUCCAUGUAUUUAGACAGCAGGUCGGUGCCCCUAAAAGCAGGUAUCCGCUAAAGAGUGUGUUAAAACUCACCUGCCGAAUACUAGGGCCCCGAAAAUGAAUGGCGCAUAUAGUACUACCGAUCUCAGACAUCAGUUCUAUUGAACUGAGAGUAGGGGGAUGUGGACAUUUUUGUGAAGGUGCAAUGUGAGUUGGACUGGAAGAAUGUCUAUUACAGAUCCUAAUUGAAGUAGCGAUUAUCCAGGCUUGUAUCCUGGGGGCUGAUGAGGAGUAGGGUUUCUGGACAACUUAAACAGAUCCAGAGUUAGUCGAUCCUAAUCUCAAUAAUGGGAGAAAGGGAGUACAGUUGAUAUUCUGUAACUGACAACAGUUCGCGGCAACGCAUACUAUUUUUCUCCGCCAAUCUUAUACCGUUGGUAGGGAUCUCUUUCCUACAUGACAGUACUAAUACCCAGGGAAACUGGUCAUCAGGCGAACUGCGGCGUUCUGCUGGCAAAACAUAGCUUCGGUUAUGUCAAUGGCUAUUGGAUUGGUCCAUGAAGCGAAAAAUAGUUUACUGUGUCACUCGUACCGAUAACCGCAUCAGGUCUUCUAGGUAAGUAGCCUAUGGCCAUUGAGGCAUGAUAGUUCAGGGAAUUCGGCCAAUUAGAGCUGUAACUUCGGGAUAAAGCUUGGCUCUGAUGAAAAUCAGAACCGAUUGUUACGCGGAGAGCCCAACUGUUUAAUAAAAACGUAGUGUCGCGCUGUGGUAGUAUAGCCAGUGAACGCGACAUGAAUCCUGCUCAGUGCUGUGUCUGUUAAUAUGGUUCAAGCCAACGAAGCACCGGUAAAUAGCUGGGGUAACUAUGACUCUUAUCAAAGUAGCGAAAUACCUCGUCACUUAAUUAGUGACCUGCAUGAACGGAGCUAUGAGGUUCUCACUGUCCCAAACUGUCUCUCAGC